GGAAACAUGAGAGGAAGAUAUUGGUGCUGAAAAUAUCAGUAAUGACGAUGACCCAGGUAAAAAAAAUCAAAUACUAUUACAUAAAAAUUCAAUUUUCAUAUAUACUACCACCUAUGCAACUAACUUUUUAUGUUGCAAUAUUUGCACAGAUUCGGCCAAUGGCCUAUGGGCUAAAAAGCAUGGACACGGCAGGAAUUGCCGAUUGGCCGUGUUGACACGGCGGGAUACGGCUGGAUACGUGUAUCCCCAGUAUCCCCUGAUUUUCGAUUAAAAAAAACCCAGGGACACGGCGGGACACGUACGUGACAAGGACGGGAUACGGCCCAGCCCAAAAACAGCCAUGGCCCAAAACGAAACCCUAUUUUUGCAGGAAUCACACGCAGCUCUCCACACAACAACGAGGGACUCCCAGGUCCCAGUCUCUUCUGGAUCGAAGCCGCCACCUCCUGGAACGAAGCCGCCGCUGUCUGGAUUCGCCGCCGCCGCCGCCGGCGACGCUUGGAUCCGACCGGCCACCACACCCCCACACCAGGAGGCAGCAGCCUCUUCUCCUGACGGCAGAGCAUGUCAUCUGGGAGUGGCACAGCUGGGUUAUGUCUUCAACUCUUCUAAUCUUCUUUACUGUUCGAUGUGUUUUGCAAGAUGCAACUUGCAAUGACAUGGGGGGACAAGAAUCAAUCAAGCACUUGAUAAAAGAGACACAACCGAAUGGGGGCAGUAUCUCUAUUCUAAUCUUUUUCUCCUUUAUUUUCUGUAUUAACUCUAUAUUACAUGACAUAU